CACCGCGGUUAUACGAGAGGCUCAAAAUGAUAGUCCUUCGGCGUAUGGUGUGGUUAGCAAUUAAAUUAUAAACUGAGAACAAAAUACCUUUAAGCUGUCAUACGCUAAUAAGUAUAUGAAUAUCAUUAACGAAAGUUAUCUCAUUAAAUGUGAACCCACGAAAACCAAGACA
rnacentral:rRNA from 1 species